rnacentral:rRNA from 1 species
AUACGUAGGUGGCAAGCGUUGUCCGGAUUUACUGGGUGUAAAGGGCGUGUAGCCGGGUUGGCAAGUCAGAUGUGAAAUCUAUGGGCUUAACUCAUAAACUGCAUUUGAAACUGCUGAUCUUGAGUAUCGGAGAGGCAAUCGGAAUUCCUAGUGUAGCGGUGAAAUGCGUAGAUAUUGGGAAGAACACCGGUGGCGAAGGCGGCUCACUGGCUCAUUUCUGACGCUCAGGCGCGACAGCGUGGGGAUCAAACAGGAUUAGAUCCCCUGGUAGUCCACGCCGUAAACGAUGAAUGCUAGCCGUUGGGCAGCUUGCUGUUCAGUGGCGCAGCUAACGCAUUAAGCAUUCCGCCUGGGGAGUACGGCCGCAAGGUUGAAACUCAAAUGAAUUGACGGGG